AUUGAACGCUGGCGGCAGGCCUAACACAUGCAAGUCGAGCGAGCGGCGGACGGGUGAAUAAUGUAGGGGGAUGUGUGUGAUAGAGGGGGAAAACUACGAGAAACGGGCGCUUACACCGCAUCACCUCAGGUGACCACAUAUGGGAUGAGAUUGUAGGUGGGGUAACGGCUCACCUAGGCGACGAUCCCUAGCUGGUCUGAGAGGAGGAUCAGCCACACUGGGACUGAGACACGGCCCAGAUUCCUACGGGAGGCAGCAGUGGGGAAUAUUGCACAAUGGGCGCAAGCCUGAUGCAGCCAUGCCGCGUGUAUGAAGAAGGCCUUCGGGUUGUAAAGUACUUUCAGUCGGGAGGCGUUACCGGCAGAAGAAGCACCGGCUAACUCCGUGCCAGCAGCCGCGGUAAUAC
rnacentral:rRNA from 1 species